AUUUGGUUACUAUGAAACGACUUACGGAAAUCAAAUGGAUUUGAUCACUAGUUUAGUUUUUAAACAAAUCAAAAAAAGAAAAUAAAAUAAAAUAAAGAUGGGGCCGAAAAUGCAAAUAAUAAAAAAAUUAAAGACAUUUAUCACGUUUCUUCAUCACAAAAUAUUAAGAUCUGUUCACUCUCUCCAUACGCUCUCUUUCUCUCUCUACCAAUUCUCGCAUAAUAUUACAGAAAAUCAAGAAAAAAUUCUCUCAUAAUUUCUUCAUUAUGUUUGCACCAAAAUCCCUCUUAUCUUACCUCUUUUGUUUUCCCAAAAAAUAUUCGCCUAUUUCUCCCAAUUUCUGCAAGCCCUAGUUCCUACCCAUGUUCGAGAAUUUUCGAAUUCAUUAAGGAGAUUUGGAAGAUUUGAUUACAGGAAAAGAGAAUUUUCGAAUUCAUUAAUUUCCCCUUCUUCUCCGGGAAGUUUCAUAUCUAAUCCUUCGGUUCCCUCUUCUUCUUUGUAUUCGAUUCUUUUCAAAGAGAUGGAGCUGACAUAGAAAGUAGUAUUAGCUUACCGGGUGUUGCUCAUGAUUAUAUGAGAUUUAUUUGUCGUGGAUCCAGGUGACUAGGUUGGUGGUCAAUUGAUGAAGGGAGUCGGGAGGAGCAAGUUCAGCUAUAUUGUGCAUUGGGAUCUAGGUGAGUUUUCUGAAAUCAAAGUUCUGAUCCAUUUCAUGCAAUAUUUCGUAUUAAUUGUUUUUUAAGCUUCUUCAAUUAUUAUAUGAGGUAGGACAAAUGAAUUACAAUUUCCGUCCUAACUAAUAAUUCUCAGGCAAUGCAUCACAUUAAACACAUGGACUGGACGAGGUAAGUAGCUACUUAUGCAAGAGCCCAGAUACAUUAUUGAAUU